GGCGGCUUUGCGCCACCACGCACUUUUGCCACAAUGUUCCUGCUCAACUGGCUGACCGCGCAGCUCUGUGAAACUGGGAACCAAGCAAUGAAACGUAGCCAAUACUUGUAUGGUGGAAAAUCUCAAUCUACAUCCAGUUUGCCAAUAUUAAUAUGUCUGCUCCCAAGGAUACAUGAUGCUCCAGAGACAUGACAUUUGUGACACCACCACUGUAUGAUAUUCUACAAUAAUGAAUAUCAUAGGACAGAUGGAAACAUUACCACAGAAUUUGGAUUUGGUUUGUAUUUUAUUCAGAAAGAUGUCCAUUCCACCAUUAAUGUGUGUGCUUUGAAUGCAUCAGAUGUUAUUCAUCCAGUGAGAUGCCUAUAAAUACCACACAACUAGGAUCCCACAAAGUGUCAUGCUAAACAAGAUCCACACCCUUAAUGACAGAAGUGGUAACAUACAUUACACGUUCUUCCAGCAGAAGUAACAUUAUGUUACUCAUCUGUCUUGAGAAGCAACUUCCUAAUGACUGAUGUCUCUUACCGGCAAAAGCUUUCAAGUAA